rnacentral:lncRNA from 1 species
GUACCGGAUUGAAACUACGCGUGCUGGAAGCGAUUGGACCACCUGAGAUCGACGCAGGAGGGGCUGACUUGCAGUGGUGGCGCAACCUGGUGGCGGAGCAGCUGGUGGCGCAACUGCAGGCGCGACAGAUAUGCUCCUGGUGGUCGGCAGCGCGCUGGAGCUGCAACAAGGCUGAGCACACGGAGGAACAGUGGCGGAGCUGUGGCUGGGUUUGC